GGCCCCUUAGCUCAGCGGUUAGAGCAGCGGACUCAUAAUCCGUGGGUCGCAGGUUCAAAUCCUGCAGGGGCCA
rnacentral:tRNA from 1 species